GAUGAACGCUGGCGGCGUGCUUAACACAUGCAAGUCGAACGGUGAAGGCGGAGCUUGCUCUGCUGGAUCAGUGGCGAACGGGUGAGUAACACGUGAGCAAUCUGCCCCUGACUCUGGGAUAAGCGCUGGAAACGGCGUCUAAUACUGGAUACGAGCUGCGAAGGCAUCUUCAGCAGCUGGAAAGAACUUCGGUCAGGGAUGAGCUCGCGGCCUAUCAGCUUGUUGGUGAGGUAACGGCUCACCAAGGCGUCGACGGGUAGCCGACCUGAGAGGGUGACCGGCCACACUGGGACUGAGACACGGCCCAGACUCCUACGGGAGGCAGCAGUGGGGAAUAUUGCACAAUGGGCGAAAGCCUGAUGCAGCAACGCCGCGUGAGGGACGACGGCCUUCGGGUUGUAAACCUCUUUUAGCAGGGAAGAAGCGAAAGUGACGGUACCUGCAGAAAAAGCGCCGGCUAACUACGUG
rnacentral:rRNA from 1 species